rnacentral:rRNA from 1 species
AUGAACGCUAGCGGCAGGCUUAACACAUGCAAGUCGAGGGGCAGCACGGGUAGCAAUACCUGGUGGCGACCGGCGCAAGGGUGCGUAACGCGUGAGCAACAUGCCCUAUACAGGGGGAUAAUCCAGGGGAAACUUGGUCUAAUAUCCCAUAGCAUUUAGAGGAGGCAUCUUCACUAAAUUAAAGCUUCGGUGGUAUAGGAUUGGCUCGCGUGACAUUAGCUAGAUGGUGAGGUAACGGCCCACCAUGGCUAUGAUGUCUAGGGGUUCUGAGAGGAAGACCCCCCACACUGGGACUGAGACACGGCCCAGACUCCUACGGGAGGCAGCAGUGAGGAAUAUUGGACAAUGGAUGGAAAUCUGAUCCAGCCAUGCCGCGUGCAGGAAGACGGCCCUAUGGGUUGUAAACUGCUUUUAUAUGGGAGCAAUAAGGUUUACGAGUAGACCGAUGAGAGUACCAUAUGAAUAAGCAUCGGCUAACUCCGUG